CAGAGCCGCGGUAAUACGAAGGGUGCAAGCGUUACUCGGAAUUACUGGGCGUAAAGCGUGCGUAGGUGGUGGUUUAAGUCCGUUGUGAAAGCCCUGGGCUCAACCUGGGAAUUGCAGUGGAUACUGGGUCACUAGAGUGUGGUAGAGGAUAGUGGAAUUUCCGGUGUAGCAGUGAAAUGCGUAGAGAUCGGAAGGAACAUCUGUGGCGAAGGCGACUAUCUGGGCCAACACUGACACUGAGGCACGAAAGCGUGGGGAGCAAACAGGAUUAGAUACCCCAGUAGUCCCUGUCUCUUAUACA
rnacentral:rRNA from 1 species